CAACUUUCAGCAACGGAUCUCUUGGCUCUCGCAUCGAUGAAGAACGCAGCGAAAUGCGAUAAGUAAUGUGAAUUGCAGAAUUCAGUGAAUCAUCGAAUUUUUGAACGCACCUUGCACUCCUUGGUAUUCUGAGGAGUAUGCCUGUUUGAGUGUCAUUA
rnacentral:rRNA from 1 species